rnacentral:rRNA from 1 species
UAUUUGUUAUAUCAUUAAAUUUAAAAGAUUUGGCGGUAAAUUAUUUAAUUAGAGGAACUUGUUUUGUAAUCGAUAUUCCACGUUUAAUUUUUCCUAUAUUUGUUAGUCAAUUUAUAUACCGUUGUUUACGAAAAUUUUUAUUGAAUUUUAAUUUUCUUAAUAAAUUUUUUAUUAAAAUCAAGUCAAGGUGUAGUUUAUAUAUAGGUUUAUAAUGAGUUACUAUUAUUUUUAAUAAUAGAUUAUAUUUUGAAAUAAUUAUAUGAAAAAGGAUUUAACAGUAAUAAAGUGAUUAAAUAUGUAUUUAUGAAUUAUACACUAAUUUAUGU